NNNNNNNNNNGGAUUCCCCNAGNAACUGCGAGUGAAGCGGGAAAAGCUCAAAUUUAAAAUCUGGCAGUCUUGGGCUGUCCGAGUUGUAAUCUGGAGAAGCGUUUUCCGCGCUGGACCGUGUACAAGUCUCUUGGAAUAGAGCGUCAUAGAGGGUGAGAAUCCCGUCUUUGACACGGACUACCAGUGCUUUGUGAUACGCUCUCAAAGAGUCGAGUUGUUUGGGAAUGCAGCUCAAAAUGGGUGGUAAAUUCCAUCUAAAGCUAAAUAUUGGCGAGAGACCGAUAGCGAACAAGUACCGUGAGGGAAAGAUGAACAGCACUUUGGAAAGAGAGUUAAACAGUACGUGAAAUUGUCGAAAGGGAAGCGCUUGAAGUCAGUCGCGUUGUUCAGAACUCAACCUGGUUUUACUUGGUGCACUUUCUGAAUGACGGGCCAACAUCAGUUUUGACUGUCGGAUAAAAGCCUUGGGAAUGUGGCACCUCCGGGUGUGUUAUAGCCUUUGGUUGUAUACGAUGGUUGGGAUUGAGGAUCGCAGCACGCCUUUUGGCCGGGGUUUGCCCACGUACGUGCUUAGGAUGUUGGCGUAAUGGCUUUAAACGACCCGUCUUGAAACACGGACCAAGGAGUCUAACAUGCCUGCGAGUGUUUGGGUGGAAAACCCGAGCGCGCAAUGAAAGUGAAAGUUGGGAUCCCUGUCGUGGGGAGCACCGACGCCCAUACCAGACCUUCUGUGACGGAUAUGCGGUUGAGCAUGUAUGUUGGGACCCGAAAGAUGGUGAACUAUGCCUGAAUAGGGUGAAGCCAGAGGAAACUCUGGUGGAAGCUCGUAGCGAUUCUGACGUGCAAAUCGAUCGUCAAAUUUGGGUAUAGGGGCGAAAGACUAAUCGAACNNNNNNNNNNNNNNNNNNNNNN
rnacentral:rRNA from 1 species